rnacentral:rRNA from 1 species
GCCUACGGGAGGCAGCAGUGGGGAAUAUUGGGCAAUGGGCGCAAGCCUGACCCAGCAACGCCGCGUGAAGGAAGAAGGCUUUCGGGUUGUAAACUUCUUUUAUUGAGGACGAAACAAAUGACGGUACUCAAUGAAUAAGCCACGGCUAACUACGUGCCAGCAGCCGCGGUAAUACGUAGGUGGCAAGCGUUAUCCGGAUUUACUGGGUGUAAAGGGCGUGUAGGCGGUACUGCAAGUCAGAUGUGAAAAUUAUGGGCUCAGCCCAUAACCUGCAUUUGAAACUGUAGUUCUUGAGUGAU